rnacentral:rRNA from 1 species
AGACCCGAAACCCGGUGAUCUAGCCAUGGGCAGGUUGAAGGUUGGGUAACACUAACUGGAGGACCGAACCGACUAAUGUUGAAAAAUUAGCGGAUGACCUGUGGCUGGGGGUGAAAGGCCAAUCAAACCGGGAGAUAGCUGGUUCUCCCCGAAAGCUAUUUAGGUAGCGCCUCGUGAAUUCAUCUCCGGGGGUAGAGCACUGUUUCGGCUAGGGGGCCAUCCCGGCUUACCAACCCGAUGCAAACUGCGAAUACCGGAGAAUGUUAUCACGGGAGACACACGGCGGGUGCUAACGUCCGUCGUGAAGAGGGAAACAACCCAGACCGCCAGCUAAGGUCCCAAAGUCAUGGUUAAGUGGGAAACGAUGUGGGAAGGCCCAGACAGCCAGGAUGUUGGCUUAGAAGCAGCCAUCAUUUAAAGAAAGCGUAAUAGCUCACUGGUCGAGUCGGCCUGCGCGGAAGAUGUAACGGGGCUAAACCAUGCACCGAAGCUGCGGCAGCGACACUGUGUGUUGUUGGGUAGGGGAGCGUUCUGUAAGCCUGUGAAGGUGUGUCGUGAGGCAUGCUGGAGGUAUCAGAAGUGCGAAUGCUGACAUAAGUAACGAUAAAGCGGGUGAAAAGCCCGCUCGCCGGAAGACCAAGGGUUCCUGUCCAACGUUAAUCGGGGCAGGGUGAGUCGACCCCUAAGGCGAGGCCGAAAGGCGUAGUCGAUGGGAAACGGGUUAAUAUUCCCGUACUUGGUGUUACUGCGAAGGGGGGACGGAGAAGGCUAUGUUGGCCGGGCGACGGUUGUCCCGGUUUAAGCGUGUAGGUGUGUGUUCCAGGUAAAUCCGGUUCACUUUAACACUGAGGCGUGACGACGAGGCACUACGGUGCUGAAGCAACAAAUGCCCUGCUUCCAGGAAAAGCCUCUAAGCAUCAGGUAACAUCAAAUCGUACCCCAAACCGACACAGGUGGUCAGGUAGAGAAUACCAAGGCGCUUGAGAGAACUCGGGUGAAGGAACUAGGCAAAAUGGUGCCGUAACUUCGGGAGAAGGCACGCUGACACGUAGGUGAAGUGAUUUACUCAUGGAGCUGAAGUCAGUCGAAGAUACCAGCUGGCUGCAACUGUUUAUUAAAAACACAGCACUGUGCAAACACGAAAGUGGACGUAUACGGUGUGACGCCUGCCCGGUGCCGGAAGGUUAAUUGAUGGGGUCAGCGCAAGCGAAGCUCCUGAUCGAAGCCCCGGUAAACGGCGGCCGUAACUAUAACGGUCCUAAGGUAGCGAAAUUCCUUGUCGGGUAAGUUCCGACCUGCACGAAUGGCGUAAUGAUGGCCAGGCUGUCUCCACCCGAGACUCAGUGAAAUUGAACUCGCUGUGAAGAUGCAGUGUACCCGCGGCAAGACGGAAAGACCCCGUGAACCUUUACUAUAGCUUGACACUGAACAUUGAGCCUUGAUGUGUAGGAUAGGUGGGAGGCUUUGAAGUGUGGACGCCAGUCUGCAUGGAGCCGACCUUGAAAUACCACCCUUUAAUGUUUGAUGUUCUAACGUGGACCCGUUACCCGGGUUGCGGACAGUGUCUGGUGGGUAGUUUGACUGGGGCGGUCUCCUCCUAAAGAGUAACGGAGGAGCACGAAGGUUGGCUAAUCCUGGUCGGACAUCAGGAGGUUAGUGCA